AGCAGCGUGGCUCAGUGGAAAGAGCACGGGCUUGGGAGUCAGAGGUCAUGGGUUUGAAUCCCAGCUCUGCCG
rnacentral:tRNA from 1 species